GCCCGGAUGAUCCUCAGUGGUCUGGGGUGCAGGCUUCAAACCUGUAGCUGUCUAGCGACAGAGUGGUUCAAUUCCACCUUUGAAGG
rnacentral:tRNA from 10 species